rnacentral:tRNA from 1 species
GCCGUUGUAGCUUAGUGGUAAAGCACGUUCUUGGUAAGAACGAGACCGUGGGUCCAAUCCCCACCAACGGCU